rnacentral:lncRNA from 1 species
UAGUUUCUUGCUUAUUAUCAAGAUAAAGUUUGUCGUGCUGUUAGUUUGAGAUAUCAUCGAUACCCAUGGGAUUGCAGGUUGAGAUUACCAAGAUAAAGUUUGUUGUUCUGUUUGUUUCCAUAAUUUUUUAAAUAAGAUUUUGGCUUAUGUUCAAUCAUCUGCAGGUAGAAGCAGUAAGGGUUAAGCAUAUUCUUCCCCUCCUUGCUGAUCAUAUCACACCCUGCAAAUAAGACAAGAUCCUGUAAGUAUUGCCUCUAAACCUAACUAGAAUGUAAGACCAUGCAUGAUUGGUACCUCGCUUCUCUUGAGACUAGUAAGGAGUAGUCUGCACCUGGUGUCAUCUUGGCUUGCUAUUGCAAUAUGAUUAUUGCUAGGUCCUGUUGAUUAUGCUAUUUUCGCAUCUAAAGAAAUCAAGCAUCAUUUUGUGAGAUUGGUGAUACCUAUUGAUUAAUGCGCACUCUCCUCAUCAUUUUUUUAAUGUCCUGAUAAUCUAUCAGCCAUGGGAUUGUGGGUUGUGUCCCCAAGAACACUGAAUUGCUUGCAUUGCUAUCAUUUAAUCUUGGGAUAUGAAUACCAGUAUGCCCAUUAUAUUCUACUCCUACAUGAAUUGUAUGAUAUGGCAACAUCGCUCUUAUAAAAGCUAAAAGUACCUAUGCACGUGCUCAUAAGUGGGCAUUGCGCGACUCCUGAAGACACCGUUUGAGACCAGAGUGGAGAGGAUUAUGGUGCUCCAAUUUCCGUGUCUCAUGGACCCAAGGCAAUUAAACUCCAAACUGGACCGUCACUUUUUAGUUUGAUACUCCUACGGUCCUACCCAUGUGAACUGCAUGACUUGCGUGAGAUGCAGCAAAAUCUAGGAAAGAUUGGCUUUGAUGUGCUGAUGAGAACAAAGGUACCUUUUGUUUUCCUUUGAAAUCAGGACUCAGGAGCAUAUUCUACAGAGAUAGUUAUGACGCCACGGCAGCAAAAGUUCUUUAAAAGUUCUGAGAUCAUCCAACUUUAGACUGAAUACCUUUUUGAAGGGCAACUUUAGACUCAGAGCAUACUUGGUACUUGCAUUUGUUGGCAUGCUUGUUAUAAACCUCAUCUCUGUUGCAAUCUGGCUGCAUCUACAGUUCUUGUUGAUCAUGCUAUUUUGUGAGGUUAGUGAACAGUGAUAGUCAUGCAAUUGCAGAUUUCUAUACACGGUCCGUUCUUUAUUUUCUUAAUGGCCCUAGUGAUAUACCCAUAAUGCCAUUAUCUAGAUAAAGUUUUUUUCGAAAAGUAUUAUCUAGAUAAAGUUUUGGCCUCUUGGGAUCCUAUUAGUUUUGUUUUCUUUUUACAAUUUUGCAACUUUGGCUAAUGUCCAACCCCGGGUUGCAUGCUGAAAAAUCCUCUUACAAUUUUGCAACUUUGGCAACCCGUGAAUAGUUGCGGCUAGUUCUUGUUGAUCAUGCUAUAUAUUGUGAGGUUAGAAUAGCUUGGUCUUACAUAUUUCUAUACUACGCUCCCUUUAUUUUGUUCAUGAUCCGAUUAAUCUACUCAUAAUGCGAUUAUCUAGAUAAAGCUUGUUGGUUUCCUAUUAUUUUUUUCUUUUUUAUACUUUUGUAAGGUUAUUUAUUUGGCUUCUGUUCAACCCGUGGUUAAUACAAAUUCCCUUUCAUCUAAAGAAAAUCGGUUACUUGCUAAAAAUUUCUGUGGCUAUUCAGUUUUAUGAUGUGAUGCAAACCUAUGAUAGCUUGACCUUGACAGGUUGAUGAAGACAUAGAUGGCUUUUGAAAUUAGAGCCUAUUCUACAGAAAUAGAUAUGCAUCAUUGCCAAAGCACCAAAAGUGAACCAGACUUGAAAAGUCGGCUCAGGAUUUUGGGGGCUUGUUGGAGUCAUCUAUUUCUUGUUUGUGUGUUCCUAUCAUAUUUGUUAUUUUCCCUUUUUUGUAAUGUACUUCCGUAAGACCUUUUUCCUGGCUUCUGUUCAAGUUGUGGGGGUUAGUUAUAUCCUCUUUUCUCUAAAAAGAUCUGAAUGAGUGCUGAUAAUUUCUCUGGACAAUUACUUUUGCUUCUACUUUGUGUACAAGACUACAGGUAGCGAUCAAGGCCUCACCAUAUUCCUUCAGCUUCAUAUAGCCCAUAAAUAGGCAUGAGGCUGUAUUUAAACCUAUGUAAAAUCAGACUUGAUCACUAAUUCAUCUUUUAGCAUUUGUUAAGGAGUUGAUUUUUUUUACGCUUGUUAGUUGUUAAGAAGGUAAUUUGAGGUGUCACAAGCUCUGAACCAAACAUACCUUAGCUACUCACAUCUGGUGUAAUGCUUGCUGUCCAAUCUUGUGUGGCUACAUUGCAAUCUGGUUUGGCUAGUUAUAGAGUAAAAUGUAUGGCUGGUCCUUAAACUAUCCGGCUGUGUCACUUAGGUUCCCAUAAGCUCCCUAAAUUUUGAUCUGGGUGUUAUUUAGGUCCCUAUACUUUCAGAAUGUAGAUCCAGCCAGGGCCUAUGUACUCUCUAAAGUCUUUAUCAUCUCAAUUAAUAGAUAAAAAUUAUUUUUACAUAGAUGUAAUUUGAUUAUAGUAAAAUAAAGUGUGUGGGAAAUAUUGAUGUACUGAAUCCAAAAUGGUUGAUGAUCUUUUACUUUGGAAGCAAUAUCUUAACUUGCUAGGUGUGCAUGACAGGCGUGCUCUAUUAUUGAAAGAUUGUUCAAAUUUAAAUAACUUGUAGUUGCACUUACUAAACUAAAAUUUCUUUUUUUUCUCUGUAAUAUUUCGGUUUGUAUGCCGAAAAUUUCUUAUUUUUUCUUUUUUUUUUGUCAUCUGUAGGUAGAAGUCAUAGGGUUAAGCAUAUCCUUCAACUCCUGGUUGAUCAUAUCACACCCUGCAAAUAAGAUAAGAUCCUGUAAGAUUUGCCUCUAAACCUAACUACAAUAAGACCAUGCAUGGUUGACCACUACUUUAAUUUGCUUCUUUUGACACUAGUAUGGAGUUAGUCGAAUUGGUGACUUCUUGGCUUGCUAUUGCAAUCUGAUUGUGGCUGUGUCUUGUUGAUUAAGCUAUUUUUUACAUCAGAAGAGAUUAAGCAUUUUGUGAGAUAGGUGAUACCUUCUGGAUUAUGUGCAUUCUCCUCAUUUUUCAGCGUCCUGAAUCCUGAUAAUCUAUCCGCCAUGGGUUUGUGGGUUGUGUCCCCACAAACGUUGAAUUGCUUACAUUGCUAUCAUUUGAUCCUGGGAUAUGAAUACCAGUAUGUCCAUCAUAUUCUCUACAUAAAUAGUAUGAUUUGGCAACAUAGAUUAAGGGGGUGUUUGGGAAACACCUGUUAAAGUUUAAUACCUGUCACAUCGGAUGUUUGGAUGUUAAUUAGGAGUACUAAACAUAAGCUAAUUACAAAACUAAUUGCACAGAUGGAGUAUAAUUCGCGAGACGAAUCUAUUAAGCCUAAUUAGUCCAUGAUUUGACAAUGUGGUGCUACAGUAACCAUUUGCUAAUGAUGGAUUAAUUAGGCUUAAUAGAUUCGUCUCGCGAAUUAGCACAGGGUUCUGCAAUUAGUUUUAUAAUUAGCUCAUGUUUAAUCCUCCUAAUUAGCAUCCGAACAUCCGAUGUGACACUGUUAAAGUUUAGCACCUCGUAUCCAAACAGCCCCUAAAAGUACCUAUGCACAUGCACAUAUGUGGCAUUGUGCAACUCCUGAUGGAAGGAAACCAUUUGAGACAAGAGUGGAGACAUAGUAGUGGAGGGUAUUAUACUGCUCUCUGAAAGGAGAGGAAUGUAAGAAUUUUCAACCACAAAGAGUCUACCGUUGCCACAAUAUGCUACAAAAUUAAGGAUGAGUUAAACAACUGGAUGAUGGCGGGCGCCAAGCACAUAUCAUCUCUGUCCGGCCGGAUCUAAUUAAGAGAUGUUUUAGAAUUUUUUUUGUCUAAAUCUUUGGUUAGAGUGUUUAGUUUGUAAUCCUUCCAUCUAGGAGCUCCUUCUUUUUAAUAUAAUUGACAACUCUCCUGCUGGUUCGUUUAAAAAAAGUAUUAUACUGCUCCAGUUUGGUAUGUCAUGGACCCAGGCAAUGAUACUCCAAGCUGGACCGCCACUUUAGUUUGAUACUCCUACGGUCCUACCCAUGUGAACUGCAUGACUUGUGUGAGAUGCAGCAAAUCUAUGAUAGCUUGGCUUUUUGUUUUUGAUAUGCUAAUGAGAACAAAGGUGCCUUGUUUUCCUUUGCAAUCAGGAGCAUAUUCUACAGAGAUAGAUAUGACGCCCCACUGCAGCAAAAGUUCUCUCGUGUUGUUAAAAGUUCUGAGAUCAUCCUACUUUAGACUGAGUACCUUUUUGAAGGGCAUCUUUAGAC